GUGAACCUGCGGAAGGAUCAUUGUCGAAACCUUCAAAUGACCCGCGAACUAGUUAUCCACAAGUCGGGGGUGUCGUGGGCUUCUGUCCCGGCGCCCCCGUGGCGGUGGUGGCCAGGCGCGCCAAGCUCUUGGCACGGCUGGCCCAUCACCUGCCCAACAAACAAACCCCGGCGCGGCACGCGCCAAGGAACUUUUGCAUCAUAAGAAGUGUAACGCUCCCGGCUGUGCCGGAAAUCGGACAACACGGUCGGGGGCUUCCUUCUGUUCAUAACAAUAACGACUCUCGGCAACGGAUAUCUAGGCUCUUGCAUCGAUGAAGAACGUAGCGAAAUGCGAUACUUGGUGUGAAUUGCAGAAUCCCGUG
rnacentral:rRNA from 1 species